rnacentral:lncRNA from 1 species
CCUGUGGACUUCGACGAGCUUUCUUCUGUACAUGCAUAAAAGUCUAUCCUCUUUUAUUCGGUAUCCUCUUUAAUACCUGGUAAGGACUUAAUAUUUAUAUUCUCUGUCUUGUGUGUUGUUGAAUUGGAGAAGCGAUGUUCUUAAUCACUGAGCCUUCCACAAUACACUGCCGGUGGAUGAUCAAGAAUUGGACCCAACAAGAAUACUCAGGCAUUGUAUAUGAGAAGGGGAGAGGA